rnacentral:lncRNA from 1 species
GGUAUGGGGGACUUUUGGGAUAGCAUUGAAAAUGUAAACGAGGAAAAUAUCUAAAAAAAAAAAAACAACGUAUUAUUAAUAUUACUGGGUGAUCGAGCCGGAUGUGAUGGCGCACAACUUUAAUCCCAGCACUCUGGAGGCAGAGACAAGCAGAUUUCUGAGUUCGAGGCCAGCCUGGUCUACAAAGUGAGUUCCAGGACAGCCAGGGCUACACAGAGAAACCCUGUCUCAAAAAACCAAAAAGAAAAAGAAAAAAAUUACUGGGUGAGCAGCAGUUUUCUGUUUAGGUUCUUAUUCCUGUUAAUAAAAUAACUUAGAAAUGGACUCAGAAGGAAGCUGAAGAACAAUUUCAUUAGAGUUUUAAAGGGAAAAGUGCAGUCAGACAAGCUGUAAUCUUGGCAGCUGCCCAGAGAAGGGAGACUAAGAAAAAAAGGAGAGAGAAAACCCUGCUGUUUUCUGUAUCUAUUUGUAGUCACAGGGUAGAAAGGAGUGGAGGUUGGGAGUACAAUCAGAGACUAGGUGAGAACGUCCAGGGCAGAGGAGAGCAUGCCCAGGCUUUACUCAGUGUCCAGAAACCAAAAGAGAUAACAACAAUAACAACAACAAAUAAUAAUAACAACAAUAAUAAUAAUAGGCAAUGUUAGGACUCAGGGAAGGCAGGCAGCCUGCAUGGUGGAGGCUUCACAGUGCUGCCUGACUUCACUGGUUAGUGUUUUAACAACUCCACCCAAGCUGCAGUCAUCUGAGAAAAGAAAAGCCCAACUGAAAAAUGUCAGAUUGGACAUUUUUCUUGAGCAAUCAUCGAUGUGUCAAGGACCAGUUCACUGUGGCCUGUGCCACCCCUGUGUGGGUCGCCUAGGUGUUAGUCACAAGCAAGCUGAGCACAUGGUCACAAGGAAGAAUAAGCCUGAAGGUACCAUUCCCCUGGGACCUCUGCUUCAAUCCCUGCCUCCAGGUCCCUACCUCGAUUUCCCUCAGUGAUGGAGAGUAACUUGUAAGCAGAAACAAACUCUUUCCUUCUCAAGUUGGCUCUGGUCCUGGUGUGUCACAGCAAUAGAAAGCAAACUGCAAGCAGUUGCAAGGGGGAGGCACAACAGAGAAGGAUACACACACCAUCUCAUUAACAAAUAAUUAUCUUCUUAUCUUCUUAGCAUGGCUUUAGUCUCCUGGGGGCAAUCUUCUGGCCAAGUGAUUGAUUGGCAGGGCAAGCCAGAUUAACUCUUAGGGGAGGAGAGACUAGUAAUUAAUAUUUUAAUCGUUGGAGCAGGAUAUUAUGCCUCCAGCCAGAGAUAGAGUCCAUUCUUUUUGUUUUGUUUUGCUUUUUUUGGUUCUGUUUUGUUUCCGAGACAGGGUAACACUGUGUAGCCUUUGCUAGUCUGACGUUAACUGUCAAACUGACUUGGCCCCAACUCAUAGAAAUUUGCCUGCUCUGCCUCAAGAGUGCUCGAUUAAAGGUGAUUCUGUUCUUUUAACUAGAAAGAAGUUGCUUUCGCAUAAUGGAAAAUUCGCAUGGGGGAUUUGUCCACAGCUUGCUGACACACACCCUCAUAGCCUCUAAGACUACUGCCGUAUAAGAUACGACUAAAAUCAUUUAGAGGAUGAACUGGGAUUGGGGAAUAAAUAUCAUCUAUUUUCACCAUGAAAUCUAGAGAUCCAGUUCCUAAGUUGUUCAGAAAAAGAGCUCUGUAGAUUGCAGCCUUACACACAGGGGUUUGAGACAGUGGUUCUCAUUCAAGGAAAGAGAAAUAGGGACCCUGAACUCCCUCCUUGCUAUCCCUGGCCUCUGGACUGGCCACUUUCAAAGGAUUUACCAGUUUCUGCCCAAGAAGAAUAGACCUGCUACUUUUGUGGUCCCUCCCCUGGACUACCUGUGCCAUGUCUGCCUCUCGUCCUUCUUGUUAGUAUAUGUGGGUUUCUGCCUAACUGAAAGCACUGAACAGCUUUCAGCUUAUUUCCUCUAGAGAUUGUUGUUACUCGGACAUUUUAAACACCAUGACCUUUAAUUUAAUUUUUUUCAAUAUAACUUCUAGGUUUUUUAAAAAAUUUAUAUAUUCACUUUACAUCCUGGUUCCAGGCCCUCCAGUCCCUCCUCUUCGCCCAAUCUUUGUUCUCCUUCAAGUCCCACCCAUACAACCCUUUCCCCUCAUUACCCCCCACCCUCCUAAUAUCUGGGUUUUAGUCUAAUGUGCCUUUUCUGUUCCAAGCUCCCACCCAGCGUACCACAUUACAUUUUUAUUUCCACUGCUCCUUCCUCAUUGCUUUAAGACACCACAUGCCCCCAAGCUUUCCUUGGCUGUGAGUCUGUCUCAGAAUUUCCUCCUUUUAUUCCCCCUUAUCUUGACUGUUUGGAGAACAGGUAUGCUCUUUUGCUUGGGAGCAAAAAUAACAGCAAAUAGACAUUGCUGUUAUUUUUCUCAGUGUUAGAUGGGCUACAGUGACCGGCAUAGCCACAGAGUGAAUGCACCUGCCCAUGGUCUCAGGCGCAUGCCCAGUCAGCAUGGAGCGUGGUUCAAGUGACCCUGUUUGAGUCACUGAGAUGGUCAGGUUCUCCCACUGUGAAAUCUUCGUCUAUUCUCUCUUUGCAUACUGAAGUACUGGGAAUACAAAACGUUUUUAUUAAGUGUGUGGUGGUUUGAAUGAGAUGUUUCCCAUACAUCUUGGACAUUUGAAUACUUGGUCUCAGUUGGUGGCUGUUUGGGGAAGAUUAACCAUUUGUCUCUGCUGGAGGAAAUCACUGGAGCAGGCUUUGAGGCUUCCAAAGACAGGUGCCAUUUUGUAUAAGCUCCCUCUGCUUCCCCUUUGUGAUUUAAAUGUGAAAAAUGGGGUACAGAGCUAAAGAAAGAACUCUCAACUGAGGAAUACCGAAUGGCUGAGAAGCACCUAAAAAUGUUCAACAUCCCUAAUCAUCAGGGAAAUGCAAAUCAAAACAACCCUGAGAUUCCACCUCCCACCAGUCAGAAUGGCUGAGAUCAAAAACUCAGGGGACAGCAGAUGCUGGCGAGGAUGUGGAGAAAGAGGAGCACUCCUGGGGCUGGAGAGAUGGCUCAGCGGUUAAGAGCACUGACUGCUCUUCCAAAGCCCGAGUUCAAAUCCCAGUAACCACAUGGUGGCUUACAACCAUCGGUAAUGAGAUCUGGCGCCCUCUUCUGGGGUGUCUGAAGACAGCUACAGUGUACUUAAAGCAUACAAUAGAUAAAUCU